rnacentral:lncRNA from 1 species
GAAAUGAAAUAUACAACUUCCUGUUCGAAUUAGAAAUCAAGGUCUUCCUGAGCAAAGGUACGUUUUUACAAUCAGUACAAUUUAACUGUUUAUAAUAUGUUCUCAUGCUAGCUGCUCAUUGACAUGGUUCUGAUAAAUGUUGUUAAAUACAUAAUAUGUACAACAUAUUUCAAUGAAAAUGUCAUCGUAUGUUGUUUUUUUUCGCAAUGACGUAGCUUUUAAAUGCUGUAGUUUUAGUAUUUUAGUGUAGAAAUGUCAUUUUGCUCAUCGUGUACAUAUGUGAUAGGAAAUUAGGGGUAAGGUUAUAAGGAUUGAGCGUUCACAACCGUGUUUUACGACGGUAUUUUAGAAUUUCGUCUGUCUGAAAUCAGUAACCUGUAAUUCAAUUGUAGUCUUGAUAUUUUGUUUGUGUGAGCAGAUAGAGAGUAUAUAAUUUAAACUUGUUACAAAAUCGGGGACAAAGGGGGAAAACUUUAACACAGAAUGGACAUUUAAAUAGUGAAUUUGCUAAAAGAUGACAAAAAAAUACUUUUUUAACCGUCCUCAUCUAUAAGUUUGUACCAACAAUUUUGAUCGACCUUACCUACCAUUCCGGCCCGGCGGGAGAUGAAUAAUAAGGAAACAUCUUCAGCUCAAUUCGACAUACAUAAAAUUAUCAUUCAGUAAUUUAUUAAAGGAAUGAUUGCUAUGUUGUUUCUGUCUAUGAAGAUAUAACAUAAAAAUGUGGUGCACAGUGAAAAAACCGCGUAGCAUGUUAUUCUUAAGUAUGGCCACAAAUUUUAUGUUAUUUCGAAUAGGCAGAAAAACCAUUACAGUCUUUUCUUAUAAUUUAAUUCUUAAUUCCAUUUUAAACCGGAAUGAAUCAUGAAAACACGUUAGUGACGUCACGGUCACAUGACACAAUUAUGUAAAUGAGCUGAUAAAUUGAGCGAUGUCAACCAAUCAGAAGACGCGUUACAUCCAAAAUUAAAUUAUAAGUUCUAUAUUUUCAAUGAAAUAAUAGAAAAGUGUUGACAUUAGUUGGUACAUUUUAUGAUUAAAAAAGUACUUUUUUGAGUUUAUAAAAAAAGAUGUGGUUUAGUCUUUUCGCUAUGUUUUGUUUGCUCUGAAUAGAUCCGUUAUGUCUGAACUUUCUGGGCUAUUGUUUUUACUUUUUGUUGUUGUUGUGCAGUAACAUUACUGAACGAGGUAGGGGAUGGUUGGGUGUUUCACUCCACCAGAUUGAAAAAUUGUCCGUUAUUCAUUUGUUGCCUUCAAUCACUUUCUGUCAUAUUUGUUUUCUCCUAUUUAAAGUAUGUUGUAUAUGCAGUCUAUAUCUUUCUUCUAUUAGAAAAUGUAAGUUGCUAUAUAUAUACAUGUAUCUAGCAGUUGAAGUAAACAGAGUAUUGUUUCAUUUUUCUUUUGAUGUUAUUGAUACUAAAAAUAAACUAUCUAUGAAUAUGGCCAUAUUAUUAUUUGACGGCGAUUUAUAAUACACAAUAAUAAUGAACAUGUACUUACUUACAUCCCGCAUAACUGUUGUCUUUUCUUUAUUUAAUAUAACAUAAGAAGUGGCAAAAUUUAAAAAUAUUAAAAAUGUCGCUAAGGUAAGAAAAAAAUAAAAGUUUCUACGGUAUUACGCUAACAUAGAAAUAAAAGUAAGGAAGGUUUAUUCAAAUAAUGAAACGUUUUAGUCUAAAAAAACUGAUAAAUUAAUGGCAAAAAUGAAUAAUUGUAAAUCAGACAAACAACAACAUACACUAAAAACUGGGGUGAGGGGGAUGCUUUCAUGUGCUCAUGAAGUGAUGUUUAACUUGCUCAAUAAAAUCAAGCAGAUCCUGAUCCACAUUUGCAUCCAUCAUGUUGUUUGUUUGUGUACAAACCAAACUGAUAAGUCUAAUACGGUAGGUCACAUUCGAAAAAAGAAAAACGGUAGUGUGGUUGCAACAUUUGGAACAUACCUGUCCUUAUCUGUGUAACGAGCAGUCAUCUCGUGAAGGCGUUUCAAAGGAUUUUUUUUUCAUUUUACCACUUAGAGCUCUUCGUUCAAUAGUUAUCUUGCGAUGACCAACCCUCCGUGGAAAACAUUAUGAUACUAAAUGCAGGCUCUUUAAUAUCCAAUAAUUACGAGAUACAUUGUAAUAUUUAUGUAGGGUGUAAAUGGGUUUUUUUUUUAUCUCUUUUUAAAAACUAUUAUAUUUAAACUGGGUUGUCCUUGAUUUUAGCUCGGAACAUUUUUUCGAUGUGUAGACUUUUAUAGUUUACUCUCGUCAGGACAUUUUUUCUUUAUAUUUCGGAAAACUUUUGUACUGGUAAGUUCUUCUGAAUAUGAUUGUAUUCUAUUGUUAAAGUUUGGUUAAAAUUAUAAUAAUCAUUAACAAUUUAUUUAUUUUUUCGACUUAAAGAGUCAAACAUUUUCUUAAUUAAUAAUUUAAGUUGCCGUAUCCUUAAAUAGAUGCAAUUGUACACUAGUUAGUUGUUUUAUUAGUAGUAUUGGGUUGUAAGAAAAGGGGUAAAAUUUAAUAGCGAUAUUGUUAGCGAAUGGUUAUUUCAUUUGUACUUCGAGAGGAAUAUUUAAGAGUAACAGUAGUCAUUCUUCAAAAAUGACGAGUUUCAGACAUUUGCUCUCAUUCGGUCGGGAUCUUCGUGGGAAUUGAUAUAAUGCGAUGUCCUUUUUUCUUGUCUGACUUGGUUCAUAAAAUUAGGUUUCUGUGCCAGUGGAACAAAGUCAGUGGGAACCAAUCGGUAUAUUGGUGUUGAUCCUGGUAUUUGUUAUGUUUUACGUUAUUAAUUUUAUUGAUUAAAUUAGUUAAUGUAACAAGUGUACAAUUCUUGAUAGCAAAUAACACGUCUUACUUUCUAGUCAGUAUGCGAAUUUAGUAUUUUAAACAAACCCUAAGCACUUAGGCUUAGCACUUCAUUUAGUGUAAUUAUUAUGUUUUGUUUACAAGACAUAUAUUAAACUAAAUUGCAUCUUGAAAGCUUUCUUUUCAUACGGAUAUACCCCGAUGCUUGUGUCUUCUGUAUGAAUAAAAUGCAGAUCUCAGCUUUUUGCAACUUGUUUUGAGAGGAGAGAUAAUAAGGGCAAUAGUAGCAUACCACUAAUGCAGUUUUCACAUCUUUGCGUUUUUCAGUUUCUGACACCUGGUUCGUAUGUUGGAAUGACAGAAAAAAAUGUUAUCUAACGAACCAGAGCGACUGAAGUAUGAGACUUGAUACAUGUGAUAUACACGGAACACAUGUUCGAAUAUAUGAAGAAGAAAAAACACGUUUACGUUGCAAUGAACUACGUGUGUAAGAUAUGAAACACAGUGAAAUGUCGGUGUGAAAUGUGCGUGCCUUACUUAAUAAAUACGUUUCAAUAUUGUUUUCGUUUACAUACAAAUAGAGGUCGGUCAUUUACAAACGUAUCAACCGUAUCGUAUACGUUGACGUAUCCGCAUCCACAGAUAUAUCCAAUUAUCUAGUUAAUUAUAAAAACAUAUUUAAGAUUGUACAUGAAUAAACACAACAAAAUCAAAUGUAUUACUUAUAAACAUGAUAGGAACUUUGAAUAUUGUUCAUUUGGGAUUUAUUAUGAAAGGUAGUAGAAAAGUUCUGAGUAUAUAUAUAACACUAUUUGUCAAAUAACAAUUUGGUUCUACGUAAGCACAAGUUCAUAUAUACACAAACAAACGAUUUAACCGUAUUUACUCCUAUUAUAUCUGUAAACUGUUCCAACUAUCCGGCAUAUCUUUAAAAGUCGGGUUACAUAUUCCACAAAAUCUCGAUAUUUCCUAAUUGUUUCGUAAAUUUCUACAUUAGAAAUUAAUCAGUCGCCCUUUUGCAUUAUUGAAAGUACAUAACAUUAAAGCUCGGGAUAACAUACUGUUGUUAGGUAUAUCUGCACACGCGGAUACGUCAACGUAUAUGAUACGGUUGAUAGUCUCUAAAUUACCGAACUCUAUUGAAGUGAAAAACUCCCUGUUUGAUAUCGAGUUUGUCAUUUAACUUAACAGAAUAUGUAUUCCAAAUGAAAUCGAAGGGUACACUUUUUAGUAAAGUAUAUAUUUUUUGUAGUUACAAAUUCAGUUUUGCUGGUAAAAAGUUUGAAGUUAUUAUAAAACACUUUUAUUAUUAUUAUUAUUAUUAUUAUUAUUAUUAUUAUCAUUAGUAUUUUUAUUAUAAUUAUUAUUAUUAUUAUUAUUAUUAUUAUUAUUAUUAUUAUUAUUAUUAUUAUUAUAUUAUUAUUUUUUAUUAUUAUUAUUAUUAAUUAUUAUUAUUAUUAUUAUUAUUUAUUUAUUUAUUAUUAUUAUUAUUAUUAUUAUUAUCAUUAUUAUUAUUAUUAUUAUUAUAUUAUUAUAUUAUUAUUAUUAUUAUUAUUAGUAGUAGUAUUAUUAUUAUUAUUAUUAUUAUUAUUAUUAUUACUAUUAUUAUUAUUAUUAUUAUUAUUAUUAUUAUUAUUAUUAUUAUAUUAUUAUUAUUAAUUAUUAUUAUUAUUAUUAUUAUUAUUAUUAUUAUUAUUAUUAUUAUUACUAUUUUUAUUAUUAUUAUUAUUAUUAUUAUUAUUAUUAUUAUUAUUAUUAUUAUUAUUAUUAUUAUUAUAUUAUUUUUAUUAUAUUAAUUAUUAUAAUUAUUAUUAUUUUAUUAUUAUUAUUAUUAUUAUUAUUAUUUUAUUAUUAUUAUUAUUAUUAUUAUUAUUAUUAUUAUUAUUAUUAUUAUUAAAUAAUGAUAUAGUAUCAUUAAGAUUACAUUUUUAUUAUUAUUCAUUUUUAUAUGAUGUCAUAUCCCUAAUGCAGCGCGAUAUAUAUCAGUUUUUUUUAUUAUACAUAAUGAUAUAUGACUUUAUAUUAAAACUUACAUAAUAUAUAACUACAUGUAUGUCACAAGUUUUCAUUAUUGAUAUUUUAGCACUGUUUGGAAUGUUAGAUGACACAACAGCUUAAUAUGUUAUUAGUCUUAGUCAUCGUCACAACUGUUAUGUUUACAGUUACUGCACAACGUAAGUCAUGACACAUAAUACGAUUUUAUACAAAGCAGAUUUGUAUUUACAAUUUUCAAAUUGUAAGGGGUCGUUGUAAUGUUAAACAGAUCGAAAUUCCAAUACAUAAAAUUGAGAAUGGAAAUGGGGAAUGUGCCAAAGAGACAACAACCCGACCAUAGAAAAAAAAACAAAACAAAAAACAACAGCAGAAGGUCACCAACAGGUCUUCAAUGUAGCGAGAAAUUCCCGCACCCGGAGGCGUCCUUCAACUGGCCCCUAAACAAAUAUAUAUACUAGUUCAGUGAUAAUGAACGCCAUACUAAUUUCCAAAUUGUACACAAGAAACUAAAAUUAAAAUAAUACAAGACUAACAAAGGCCAGAGGCUCCUGACCUGGGACAGGCGCAAAAAUGCGGCGGGGUUAAACAUGUUUGUGAGAUCUCAACCCUCCCCUAUACCUCUAGCCAAUGUAGAAAAGUAUACGCAUAACAAUACGCACAUUAAAAUUCAGUUCAAGAGAAGUCCAAGUCUGAUGUCAAAAGAUGUAACCUAAGAAAAUAAACAAAAUGACAAUAAUACAUAUAACAACAUAACUACUAGCAGUUAACUGACAUGCAGCUCCAGACUUAAUUAAAACUGACUGAAAGAUUAUGAUUUCAUCAUAUGAACAUCAGACACAAUCCUUCCCGUUACGGGUUUAGUAUCAUACCAUCAUAACAUAUAUGAGAAGAUGCCAACAACUGGUUUUUGAAUAAAUGUGUUUAGUUCCGAUGCAAAUACCCUAUAAGUGAAUCAAUAUUAACGCCAAAAUAUGCAAUCUUUAAUGACCUGACAACAGUAUCGUAACUAUAUCCCUUCUUUAUAAGUCUAUUACGUUUAAUUUUAAAAUGUUGUACGUAACUUAAUGAAUAAAUUGAACUCUGAAAUUGCGAAAUUCUUGACAAAACAGAAACUUUAAUUGUGUCCAAUAUAAUCCAUAGGCUUCCUUUACUGAUAGGACACAUUUGCAUUGGUGAUAUUUGAUUUUCGUAUUGAAUUAUCAAUAUUGACAUCAUAUCAAAUAUAUGUCAAUUCUUAGAACAUACAUGUAUAUGUUAGCGGCAAUAAGUGAAAUUAGGCAUUAAGCUUAAGUCCUAGGCAAUAAUCUAACGCCUAGGCAUUAAGUCUAAUGCCUAAAUGAUGUUAGGCAUUAGUCUUAAAUCCUAGGAUUUAAGCUUAAAUCCUGAAAAAUGUGUCCAAGCAUUAAGCUUAAUGCCUAAAGUAUAAAUGCGAGUAAAUAAAAGACAUUUAUUCAAUUAAAUAAAAAUUAUACAUUUGUUACAUAAUAAAAUUACGAGAACUGAAGUUUAAAUUGUCAUCUACUGGAAAUCACAGAUAAAAUAUGUUUUUAUAUUAAAACUCAUCAAAUAUUACUUAUAAAACAUGAAAACUUAAUACAAAUGUGUGUUAAAAUCAUUUGUUAUCACAAGUUGUUGAACUGACAGUGUGGCACCGACUAUUGCACUUUCUCCCGUUUUUCUUGCAUUUGCACCGGUUACUUAAACAUUUAGUUUUACAAGAACAUUUGAAAAAUCCUUGACCUCCGGAUAAUGACUGAUGGGUUGCUGCCUCAAGUACACUUAAAGUUGUUUCACAAUUAAUUUCCUCUUCUAGAAUUAAAUUUUGUUUACAUAUUCCCAUCUCAUUUGUUCCAAAUGUUCCUAGAAGUUGUCCAAACCUUAAUGAAAAAAAUGUUUCUAUCGGAAUGUGUGUUCUUACAUUUGUUUCUGUUAUUAUAUUUGAUUUUGAUAUGAUCAUGCAAAUAUCGAGAUAAAGAAUGAAUCAGCAGACAAGCAACACAAAAUUAGUAAAAGAUGUUUGACGGUCAAAAGAUACAAUAUUUUUUUUAAUCUGAUUGAAAAACAAUAUUUUUUUAGGGUUGCUCUUAUGGUUAUUCGCUAUUGAUAAAACAGACCUAGACGUCUCAAUCAUAGGCUUUCUAUGAAGUUUUGUGUUGACUAUAGCAAUUUUUCGUUUUGUUGUCCUUUUAUUAUGGGGUUUUGUCUUGUAAAAUUAAUUUCGAUACUGACGAAAAAACACUUGGAAAAUGAAUCAUACAAGCAGAAAAAAGUGCAAAAGAAAGAACAAGACAAAAUGGAUUUCAUAAUUAGGUUCUUUAUUCGGACAUGUACAUGCACAAUAGACAAUAAUAGAUGCAUGUUCAUAUGCAUGUCACAGUGUUGUAAUUACAAGAACGGGUGUUCCGUGAACUGCAAAGUAUGGGAAAAAACCUUCUUGGCUAUAUCAUUUAUAAACGUUUAAGCUAUUAGGAUUACAACACAGGUUUAUCUGCUGUGUCCUUAUUAUUGACAUUGUAACCUUUUAUGUAAGUUUGUUUUGCUCACACAUUAUUUUCAAUAUAACGAAAUUAUAUGUGACUGUCGAACAAGUUAGAGCUUUAGCUACAAAUGUACAUGUAGUUAUAAAACCAGGUUUUAUCCUCUAUUUUCUACAUAAGGAAAUGCCUUUACUAAGUCAGAAAUAUGUCAGUUGUUUCCAUUCGAUUGUUGUGUUUGAACGUUAUCAUUUGAUCAGGAGGUUUUCGUUUUGAAUUUUCCUUGGAGUUCGGUAUUUUUUUUUUUUAUUUUUUUUUCUUUAUAAUAAAAGUCUGUCCUAAGUUUUAAGUUAACAUGACUACGAUUUAAUAGUAGUCUAACUUCAACAAACCUAUUAAAUGAUAAUGUAACAUUAUCGCGUUAUCAUAUCAGUUAACCAUUAAUAAAGUGUUGUAUACAAACUGUUAAAGGUUUUACUGUAUAAAGCCUCGGUCACACCUUAACUGAUAGAUCGAACGGACACCUAACGGAUAACUUUUUUCGAUCCGUUUAUGUCCGUUAGACGUCCUUUCAUAUCUGUUUCAUGUCUGUUUAGCGUACGUUUUAUUCGUAGACGUCCGUUCUGUCCGCUGGAAAAUUUUGUUCAAAACUUUGAACGGACGUCCAACGGAUGAAGUGUCCGUUGAACAUCCGGUAGGCGUCCGUUUUGUACGUUACUCGUCCUUUUCGUUUCCGUUUUGGAUCCGUUACUUGUCCGUUAUACAUCCGUUGAAGGUCUGGUAGACAAAUUUACCAACAGACUUCUACAGGACGUUUAACGGAUAACACGGAUGUUGAACGAAUGUGAAACGGAUUUCUACCGAAUGUAUAACGGAUAAAACGGAUGAUGAACGGAUUUGGAACGGAUAAAUGCCAAUUGAAAAUUUCGCGACAGGAAUGUCAAUUAUUGGUAAGUCAGAUUCUUUGAGGUUCAUACAUUCUUAUUAUUCAUAACUGAUCUUAAAGAAAGGGCUCGUCUUCACCAUCAAUCAGCGUUUAUUCAGGGCAGACACUUCCCUUUGGCGGCAUUUUGAAGAACAAACCAAAACCAAUUACACAGAAACAUUCUGAAUAUUUUUAUGAUAUACAUGUAUUAUUAUUGUCGCCUUUCAUUUUUCUGUCUAUCUUGUUCAUCCGUUUAAUCUGGUAAGCUUCCGUUAUGUGUUCAUCGUCCGUUGGAUGCACGUUCGACAUCCGUUUUGUCGGGUACGUUUUCGUUUCUUGUACGUUGGAUAUCCGGUGUGUGUCCGUUAUGCAUUCGUUACGCAUCCGUUUUAUUUGGUCAGUACAUCAACAGACUCCCAACGGAUAACAAUUUUGUCAACGGACAACUUUUAUUUCCAUCCGUAAGUCGUCCGUUCGUGCUUUCCGGUUAGGUGUGACCGAUGCUAAACGGCGAUGUAAUGGAGGGACAGACGGAAUAUCGAAGGGAAUAAUUAUAUACUGACACUCUGACUUUGACUUCUUGAAGACUGUACAAUAGAAAAACAGAGGAUAUGGGGUAUCCAUCCGUUACACAAAAUCAGCAUAUGAACUAAAAAACAAUACCACUUAUUUAUUUGCUGUUCUUCAUCUCAAUUUCAUAUCGGAUCCUACUUUCAUAUACAGGUCUGAAAGUAUUGGUAUAUUUAAAAACUUACCGUUCUCAUCUUUUAUAAACAUCACUUUUUUUUUAUCAUAUCUAAAGAUUGUGAGCUACUAUUCUAACAUCUUGCCCUUAAAAUAACUAAAGCGCAAAUUGAUAUUGAACAAUCUAUUAAUAAGAAGAAAUUAGGAUCGAGUUUGCUGUACGGGAAAUUAAAUAAACAAGAUUCGAGAAAAAACAUAGCACCGUUCAAAUAAUCACAUAAGCACAAAUACUAUACUCCUUCGACUCCUUCGAGCAACGUAAAGAUGCUCAUUUCAUUUAGUUUAUAUAUAAAAAAAAAUACCAAUAGAACAAAAUUGUUUUAAAUCGACAUUAACUUCAUAAAUUAAAUAAUUUAACGUUCAUUUACAUUUCGAAAUAAUUUAAUUUUUGAUGUAACGCGUCUUCUAAUUGGCUGACAGUGUUUGUUUAUCAGCUCAUAAACAUAGUUUUAUCAUGUGAUAAUGACGAUCAAAGUUUUUUUCGUGAUUUAUCGCGGCUAAGAACUAAAUUAUAAGGAAUGACUAAAGUAUUCAAAAUAACAUCAACAAUUUGUUGUGCACACAUUAAAAUAACCCUCUACGAAAGUUAUUCAGUGUGCACCAUAUUUUUUAUGUUAUUUCCUCAUGGACAGAAAAAUACGAUAGGUAUUCCUUAAAUAAACAUUAUAGUUUACACAGGUAAAUGCAAACAUUAAGCUGUGGUGAAUGGAAAACAUUUGCAUUCGCGUUUAAUCAUAGAAAAGAACAGUUACGGUUUUACAUUUUCUUUUAAUAACUUUUUUAACUGUAAAACUAGUCAAUAUUUUACGAAAGAGUUAUUAAAAUUUCAAACUUGUUGCCUUUUGUUAGCUAUUAUUCGUGUGUUUCUUUGUCAAUUAUGAUAUCCUAUUUAUUUAUAUUGUAGUCCUGUAAUGUUGUGGUGUCAUUUUAAUGCUAAAUUCCGCAUGGCCAUAAAGGAGGGAGGUUUGUCAUGCCACAAAACCAGGUUCAAUCCACCAUUUGUUCCUUAAAAAAUGGCCUGUAUCAAGUCAGAAAAUAUGGCCAUUGUUAUAUUAUUGUUCGUUUCUGAGUGUGUUUCAGUUGUGUCGUUUUUUCUCUUUUAUUAUUGAGUGUGAAUUCACUUAACUAUAAGACGUGUCACGGUACUUAUCUAUCCCAAAUUCAUGUAUUUGGUUUUUUAUUAUUUGGCUAUUUCAUAGGAUUUUGUCUAAUGCUUAGUCCGUUUCUCUGUGUGUUACAUUUUGAUGUUGUGUCGUUGUUCUCGUCUUAUAUUUAAUGCGUUACCCUAAGUUUUAGUUUGUUAACCCCGAUUUUUGGUCCAUGGAUUUAUGAGUUUUGAACAGCGGUAUACUACUGUUGCCUUUAUUUAUCAAGUACAUAGUUUGCAUACGUUUAUCAAAUUAAAGUUUGAUUUAAUUUUUACAGAGAACCUUACACCGUUUGGUAAUGCCUCUCAAAGUUCUUCAUAUUCAUCUGAUAAAACUCAAGGGAGACCAGAAUACGCUCUAGAGCCACCAAUAUCAAAUACAUUUAGCUUAAAUCUGUGUUCAAGUACAUUACUAUCCGAG